GAUGAAGAACGCAGCGAAAUGCGAUAAGUAAUGUGAAUUGCAGAAUUCAGUGAAUCAUCGAAUCUUUGAACGCACCUUGCGCCCUUUGGCUAUUCCGAAGGGCAUGCCUGUUUGAGUAUCGUGAACACCUCAACUCUCAUGGUUUGCCAUGAUGAGCUUGGACUUUGGGGGUUUUGCUGGCCUUUGGUCGGCUCCUCUCAAACGGAUCAGCUUUCCAGUGUUUGGUGGCGUCACGGGUGUGAUAACUAUCUACGCCUGUGGUUUUCUGCCAGAUAACCUUCAGCGAUGGAGGUUCGCUGGGGCUCAUAAAUGUCUCUCUUCAGUGGAGACAGCUUUUUGGACGUUUGAUCUCAAAUCAGGUAGGACUACCCGCUGAACUUAAGCAUAUCAAUAAGGGAGGA
rnacentral:misc_RNA from 1 species